GUGGGCAGUGCAGCCUUGUGUUCCUGCCCAGCCUGGAUUAAUUGCUUUGGGGGGACAUUUCUCUGCGGACCACCAAAAUUUUCUCAUGGACCACCAGUGGUCCCGGCCCACUGAUUGGCGACCACUAUCUUAGAGAAAUACAUUUUGUCC